GAUCCUGGCUCAGGAUGAACGCUGGCGGCGUGCCUAACACAUGCAAGUCGAGCGAAGCGGUUUUUAAGGAAGUUUUCGGAUGGAAUUAAAAACUAGACUGAGCGGCGGACGGGUGAGUAACGCGUGGGUAACCUGCCUCAUACAGGGGGAGUAACAGUUAGAAAUGGCUGCUAAUACCGCCAUAAGCACACAGCUUCGUCAUGGAGGCAGUGUGGAAAAACUAACCGGUCGGGUAGUGAGAUGGACCCGGCCGU
rnacentral:rRNA from 1 species